GGGGAUUAAAUUCAGAAUAAUGUAUUGCUGUUUUGUAAAUAAUAUUUAAUCAUGUAAUCCAUAAAAAAGUAACUGUAGUCUGAUUGAGUUUUAUAAAAUUUUAUUUAAUCUAAUUACAAGUUCUUUAUUUACUGGAAUCUGUUUACGUAAUCCAGAUUACAUGUAAUCAGUUACUACUGAGCUCAGAACAGGGAUUAGUUUAAAUCAGGACUAUAGGUCCUAGUUUUGCUUUUAUGAAAAUGGUGCAUGUAUGCAUCUUGAGAUGAAACAAUGGCACUGACAUAUUGUAAGGAAUGUCAUUGCAAGUUAUUUUCAUUUAAGACAGCUCACAUGCAUUUUAGUCUGGGACUAGCCUUAAGCCUGGUCUGUGAAACCAGGUAUAUAAUAGACAUUAUUUACUUCAGUACAACUGUUAAACCUACAAAUGUCAAUGAUUUUUACCAUCUUUUGCAUCAUUGCUUUUUCUGAUAAUUGUCUUUCCAAUUUGUCUAGUUCCUCCAUGGUUGUGUGAGGAAAGACAUCAUCCUCGCUGUCCACCAGCAGCACUGGAGCACUGGAACGUCUGUUAGCUGCAAGGGACUGGACCACUGAAGUCAGAUGAUUGAUCUUCAUGUCCAGUUCGUUAAGUGCCUCCAGAAUUGUCCUCUCAACAGCUGCAACACAUUAGAUGGGUGUUCACCCCAAGCAUCCUCAUUUUCAUUGGACAAGCUCACUGGAACAGCUGGAGUUAAGAAAGGUGAAGUUGUGCAAUUUAUUCUGCUUACCUGACUCAUGCAGACUUCUGUCCUGAUGUUUGGCUGUGGUCCCCCCAUCAUCCACUCUUCAGCAACCGGUCUAUUUAUGGAGACCACCAUGAUCUAAUCUAUACAGAUCUAGUUGUCUCUUCUCCCACAAACUCCUCUUUCAGUUAUGUUUUUUCUUUGUUGUUGUUUGUUGUUGUUUCAACAGUGUUGACUGUAUUUUUGUAUACCAAAACACAGGGCUGCACAAUUUUGAAGAAAAUUGCAUUAUGCGAUUGCGAUAACUUGUUAAAUAAUUCAAUAUUUGAAAUGCAAUUCAAUAAUGCUCAAAGUGUUUAAAAUAAACUUAAAUUAUAUGAAGGUAUAUUUAAAAUCUGAAAACUCAAUAACUCAUAUUAAUGUUUCACAUUCUUUUUGUGAGAAGCAUGACCACAACUUCUGAACACCUGUGCUUACUCUAGCAUUACACAAAAAGUGCCUUUUUAACAGAAGUGUAAACCAGGGGGUUUAGGGUUUCAAGUAGGCCCAGAUUAUGUUUAUUUAAGAGCAGAAACUAACUAAUCAAAUGUAAAAAUUUAACACUGCUUUACUAUAUGAAUUAAAUACACACUGAUUCUUAUUAAAGCUACAAAAGGUAUUCAGUCAUGAGCAAAGAGAUUUUCUCUGUCUUCUGUUGUUUGAUUCAUAUUAAGCACACAGAAGAAACAGGUUUAUUUAGUUGCUGUAACUUUUAAGUGUUGCAAUAUUUUGUUACACGCACACUUUCUGAACUGUUUGGUCCACUUAACUGAUAUAACCAACUGUGUAUGUGAAUACUCACCAAGACAAUAAUUUUUUACAUAAUUUUGGGUAGGACUGCACAAUAUAUCAAAAUCGCAAAUGUACAUAUUGCAAUAUGCAUAUUGCAACAGCUUGCAAUAACUGCAUGACUUUAAUACUUCAAAAGAUUACAAAAAGAUUUAAGUUGAUACAUACAGCAGAGAGUAGACUGUUACAUACGUGUGACAUACUUUAUAUUAUUAAUGCAGUAAGUGAAGUAAUCACAUGCACAGAAAGUCACUUCUGAUUAAAAAGUUAAGAAAGAGAGCACACGUGUUACAAUAUUUUGGAUCCAUGCAGCUCUUAAAAUGACAGCAGUCUGUUAAACCUGCUUCUAUCUGUGUGCUUAAAAGGGAUAGGUCACCCAAAAGUUUAUAUUAGCCUAUUAUUUACUCACCCUUAAGACAUGCUAGGUGUAUAUGACUUCCUUCUUUCAGAUGAAUCCAAUCAGAGUUGUAUUAAAAACUGACUUUGAUCUUCCAAGAUGUUUAAUGGCACUCAGCGGGUGUUGCAGUUCAUCAGUCUAAAAUAAAUCAAGCGCAUCCAUUCAUAAUAAAAAUAGUGUCUCAAACAGCUCUGGGGGGUGAACAAAGGCCUCCUGUAGUGAAGCAAUGCGUUUUUGUAAGAAAAAUAUCCAUAUUCAAAAUAUAAUAAUCAAUUUAAUCUAGCUUGCGCUCACUGUUGUACACGGAAGCAGCUCCACAAGGAUGACUUAUGUACACUUUGGGUUUGUCAGACAGGAUGAGUACUGCAUUGAGUUCUUUGUCGAGGCUUAUUACACUUAACUUCAGUUCAGAUAUGUAUUCUCAUCCAUGCAUUGUUUUUAUUUGCUCUAACAUGUCAAUAACUUUAGUAGUCCUGGGUCCCGUUCUUCGUACAUUGCUUACUCAGUUAGCUGGAUUUGAUUGUUGAUGAUUUGGCAUGAUCUUGGAUCAUUUGGCUCUUUGAAGCUCAUCCCGGAGUUGCUGUCAGAGCAACAUGUCCGUAAGCUUAAACCUGCUCGGGAGCAGCUUAUUUCAUGUAAACAGGAUUAGAUUGCAUCUUUUUAAGCAGAACUGAUACUUAAAAUCUGUCCGCUACCAUCGCUACUUUAUUAGUAGAGUAUCGUACUGAUACAGGGACAAUAAUUUAAAAUAAUAAUCAGUUAAAAAUUAAUUUAAAGAUAAUAUAAUAAUGUUGUGUAGUCUUUAAUACUAUAGACACAGCCAGUUUUACUCACUGAAAGAUUUAAUCGGCAUAAAAUAAUUACUUCAUAAUUGUAUUCGAGUCUUACACACAGAUAAUGUAGAGUCGUGCAUUAAUUUGAGUGGUGACAGAUAUUAUAGUGGUUUGAUGGAGUGCAGGAGAUGAAGAUAACAUGAUCUUGACCCUUAAGAAACUUUAAUUAAUGCUGUCACGUAAAAAAAGCUGUUCAAAUAUAAAAUUUAAUUUGAAAUAUGAAUUGCUAAUUACUACAUUGAAAUAAAAAUGUAAAGCCUGUUCAAAUAAUUGAAGUCGUGAAUAUAAAUAAUUGGGAAUCAUGUAAAAAAAAAAAAAAAACAGUCCACAUUUUCAUUUAUCUAUUAUAACAUUUAUGUAGUUUUGUUCGCUUGGCUGUUUCCUUAUAAAAGUCCAGAAAUUUGUCAAGUUUUUCGUCAGGUGUCUUUUUUAAUCAUAUGAUGACAUUACGUUGCUGUCUUGCCACCGGCCAAUCACUGCACUGCUGAUCGUGGUUUAGAGUAUCGAUACAUAACCCCUUUUAAACCAACCCAUGAAUGUGCAAUUAUCUCAGAUAACUCAAUCCAGCCAUACUAAUCAUCAACAACAGGUGCGUUCAAAGAGCCGAAUUAGCCAGAUCCUGAUUAGCGCGAUAUCAUCAUCAUCUUGGAGGUGACAUUUCAUCUCAGAUGUAUUAAGUGACGUACGAAGAACAGACCCCUGUGCUGCAUUGGAUAUAUUUACAUACCACAAACAAUACAGCAAUAAAAUCUUUGAGUAGACACUCUUAUUGUCACCACAAUAUACAUUUCAUACCACCCAACCCAAAAAUAACUUUUGUGUGUCAAUCUUUAUCAGGGUCCGGUGACAACUAGGGGGUGUCGACAAACUUCCAUUGAGGACCAUUAGACCACUCAAGAAGAAUUACCUCAUAUGACCAAGAUUUAAUGUUGUAAAGCAGAUUUUGAGCGGAUCUCCUUCAUUCUGCCGCCAGCUCACCAGAACCUCUGGGUGCACCAGCUGUGGAUAUUACAGGCCAAACUUUGGUUUUCACAUUGUUUGGAGGACAAAAUCGGGCAGGAUGUAGGGGCCCACAGUUUGGGCACGCAUACACAGGGCAGCUUUGGACACCCUAGGACAACAUGCUAAGAAGCACAGAUCUACCGAUAGCCCUCCAUCAUUCCCACAUCCAUCUUGCAACAAAGUUUCAUUAAGUGCAGUCCAUAACUAGUGUCUGCCAUACACGGUUUAUUAUGGAUUAUAAGGAUUAUUCUAUUAGAGAUCUUUCUAUUUUUUUUGAGACUGUUAUUAUGUAGUCUGUUAUGUUGUGAAUAAAGUCAAACCCCC
ensembl:lncRNA